rnacentral:rRNA from 2 species
GGUGGUGCAUGGCUGUCGUCAGCUCGUGCCGUAAGGUGUUGGGUUAAGUCUCGCAACGAGCGCAACCCUCGUGUUUAGUUGCCACUAUGAGUUUGGAACCCUGAACAGACCGCCGGUGUUAAGCCGGAGGAAGGAGAGGAUGAGGUCCUUAGCUCC